GAUCCCAUUAAGACUGCCCAAGGGUCUUUGUCCCUGAAGGCAUAUAGGCUGACUCCCAAACUGAUGGAAGUUUGCAAAGAAAAAGACUUCUCUCCAGAAGCCUUGAAAAAAGCAAAUAUUGCAUAUGAAAACAUGUUUGAAGAAGUGCCCAUUGUAAUUAAGAAUUCAUACCUGAUCAAUGUGAUGUUGUGGGAACUG